AGUAAAAUACGGGAAUACUUCAUGUUCUAGGUCGCCCACCAGUAAAAUGCGGGAAUACUAUCUGUUCUAGGUCGCCCACCAGUAAAAUGCGGGAAUACUUUAUGUUCUAGGUCGCCCACCAGUAAAAUGCGGGAAUACUUUCUGUUCUAGGUCGCCCACCAGUAAAAUGCGGGAAUACUUUCUGUUCUAGGUCGCCCACCAGUAAAAUGCGGGAAUACAUUCAUGUUCUAGGUCGCCCACCAGUAAAAUGCGGGAAUACUUUCUGUUCUAGGUCGCCCACCAGUAAAAUGCGGGAAUACUUUCUGUUCUAGGUCGCCCACCAGUAAAUGCUGGAAUACUUUCUAUUCUAGGUCGCCCACCUGUAAAAUGCGGGAAUACUUUCUGUUCUAGGUCGCCCACCAGUAAAAGGCGGGAAUACAUUCUGUUCUAGGUCGUCCACCAGUAUAAUGCGGG
rnacentral:lncRNA from 1 species